GAUGAACGCUGGCGGCGUGCCUAAUACAUGCAAGUCGAGCGAACAGGCGAGGAGCUUGCUCCUCUGACGUUAGCGGCGGACGGGUGAGUAACACGUGGAUAACCUACCUAUAAGACUGGGAUAACUUCGGGAAACCGGAGCUAAUACCGGAUAAUAUAUUGAACCGCAUGGUUCAAUAGUGAAAGACGGUUUUGCUGUCACUUAUAGAUGGAUCCGCGCCGCAUUAGCUAGUUGGUAAGGUAACGGCUUGCCAAGGCAACGAUGCGUAGCCGACCUGAGAGGGUGAUCGGCCACACUAGAACUGAGACACGGUCCAGACUCCUACGGGAGGCAGCAGUAGGGAAUCUUCCGCAAUGGGCGAAAGCCUGACGGAGCAACGCCGCGUGAGUGAUGAAGGUCUUCGGAUCGUAAAACUCUGUUAUUAGGGAAGAACAAAUGUGUAAGUAACUAUGCACGUCUUGACGGUACCUAAUCAGAAAGCCACGGCUAACUACGUG
rnacentral:rRNA from 1 species